CACAACAAUUCAAUAUCUGGCCAGUCUUGAACAAUGCAUGCUCUAAAGAAGACAGUUACAAGUUAGCAAAUGGAGUUUAUGUUAACACCAACUCAUAGGCGGCACCUGUGGGUCCGAUGUUGGCUAGGGGAUGCAUAUAUUUAUGUAAAGACUUAUAUCCUGUAAUACAAUCUUAUACCCUAGUUAUUCUUUUAAGUGUUAUUUAUUUGUUGUAAAUUUUCAUUCAUAUUAAUGUCAGCAUUUCAUGGGUUCCAAAAUCAUUGUACCAUUAUAUACAUUUAAAAUUAAAAGUUUAUGUACACAUAUUUGUUGUACCUAAUUCAUCUUACUACUGCUACAUCCCUUUGAGGCUUUCUUCUCCUGAGGACCUGUUGAAGAAUCUCAGUUAGCUAUGCCCUUUUAAAUUCAGUACUUGUAAAGAUGUUGAAGAUGCCUCGUAUUAGCUCAGGGCUUAAGAGCUUAUUUGCAAAGGAUUUAAUUCCUUUCCUCAAGAAUGUGUAGCUUUAAUGUGUUGCUGCCAACAAAUUUAUAUUGUAGAAAAAAAAAGUUGUAGUGGCUACUCAAUACCCUCGUAUACAUCAUGCUAAAUACAAUGAUUUAAUCGUUAAUUAAAACGUGAACUCUGUGUAACGCUUAAGGUUCAAAACCAAUGACUAAUUUAUGUGUAUGUGUUAAGCUCAACUUCCACCAGGAUUGCAACCCAGCACCACGGUUUGGAAGCCAAGCGCUUUAUCGCUCGGCCACCGCACCUUCAUCAAUUUAGGAGCAAUAUUUUUUUUUUAAUCGGAACAUUAAAUAUUUUAUUUAACUUCAGGAGUGUAUGAAUUCAUCUCAAAUAAAUGUUUACUAAUUAAUGUCACUGUUCAUCCUCUGGUAUAGGAUUAAUUAUUUGACCUUUUUUUUAUUUAAAAUAAAAAGAAUACGUUGAACAGCUCUUAGAUAAAAAUACUUACGUAACGUUGACCUCCAAUUUGAACACAGAGGCAACACCUUAUCUUAGGCGGUAACUAAAGUUAAAGACAGUAAUGAGUCAAAUUUACUUUGCAUGACAAGGUAAAGCCCCCCCCCCA